rnacentral:rRNA from 1 species
GAUGAACGCUGGCGGCGUGCCUAAUACAUGCAAGUCGAGCGAAUGGAUUAAGAGCUUGCUCUUAUGAAGUUAGCGGCGGACGGGUGAGUAACACGUGGGUAACCUGCCCAUAAGACUGGGAUAACUCCGGGAAACCGGGGCUAAUACCGGAUAACAUUUUGAAACGCAUGGUUCGAAAUUGAAAGGCGGCUUCGGCUGUCAACUAAGGAUGGACCCGCGUCGCAUUCGCUAGUUGGUGAGGUAACGGCUCACCAAGGCAACGAUGCGUAGCCGACCUGAGAGGGUGAUCGGCCACACUGGGACUGAGACACGGCCCAGACUCCUACGGGAGGCAGCAGUAGGGAAUCUUCCGCAAUGGACGAAGGUCUGACGGAGCAACGCCGCGUGAGUGAUGAAGGCUUUCGGGUCGUAAAACUCUGUUGUUAGGGAAGAACAAGUGCUAGUUGAAUAAGCUGGCACCUUGACGGUACCUAACCAGAAAGCCACGGCUAACUACGUGCCAGCAGCCGCCGUAA